AUUGAACGCUGGCGGCAGGCUUAACACAUGCAAGUCGAGCGGGGUGAUGGUGCUUGCACUAUCACUUAGCGGCGGACGGGUGAGUAAUGCUUAGGAAUCGGCCUAUUAGUGGGGGACAACAUCUCGAAAGGGAUGCUAAUACCGCAUACGUCCUACGGGAGAAAGCAGGGGAUCACUUGUGACCUUGCGCUAAUAGAUGGGCCUAGGUCGGAUUUGUUAGUUGGUGGGGUAAGGGCCUACCAAGGCGACGAUCUGUAGCGGGUCUGAGAGGAUGAUCCGCCACACUGGGAAUGAGACACGGCCCAGACUCCUACGGGAGGCAGCAGUGGGGAAUAUUGGACAAUGGGGGGAACCCUGAUCCAGCCAUGCCGCGUGUGUGAAGAAGGCCUUAUGGUUGUAAAGCACUUUAAGCGAGGAGGAGGCUCUUUUGGUUAAUACCCAAGAUGAGUGGACGUUACUCGCAGAAUAAGCACCGGCUAACUCUGUGCCAGCCGCCGCAGUAA
rnacentral:rRNA from 1 species